rnacentral:rRNA from 1 species
UACGUAGGGGGCGAGCGUUGCCCGGAUUUAUUGGGCGUAAAGGGCGCGUAGGCGGCCACGCACGUCCGUUGUGAAAGCGCCCGGCUCAACUGGGCGGGGUCGGCGGAUACGGCGUGGCUGGAGCAAGCUAGGGGGCAAUGGAAUUCCCGGUGUAGCGGUGAAAUGCGUAGAUAUCAGGAGGAACACCGGUGGCGAAGGCGGGUCUCUGGGCCGAUACUGACGCUGAGGAGCGAAAGCGUGGGGAGCGAACAGG